UGCUAUUUGAAAAGGAAGUUUUGUUAUUUGAAAACUAAGGGAGUUUUGCUAUUUGAAAAGGGUGUUUUGCUAUUUGAAAAGGGUGUUUUGCUAUUUGAAAAGGGAGGUUUGCUAUUUUAAAAGGGAGUUUUGCUAUUUGAAAAGGGAGUUUUGCUAUUUGAAAAGGGAGUUUUGCUAUUUGAAAAGCGAGGUUUGCUAUUUGAAAAGGGAGUUUUGCUAUUUGAAAAGGGAGUUUUGCUAUUUGAAAAGGGUGUUUUGCUAUUUGAAAAGGGAGUUUUGCUAUUUGAAAAGGGUGUUUUGCUUUUUGAAAAGGGUGUUUUGCUAUUUGAAAAGGGUGUUUUGCUAUUUAAAAACGGAG
rnacentral:lncRNA from 1 species